UUCGUUUAUUUGAUAACUUCUUUGCCUUUCAUCCAAUCAUCAGGCAGCUUGGCGAACGUCGCGGUACGUAAUUAAUAUUCAUGAGCCGGGCCUGGAAGGGCGAUCCCUGUCAGCAGCACGCGCAGCGGCGGUCUCGAGGUGUUGCGCGCGGCCACUCCUCUCAUAAACGUGCUCAGCCUUCAACCGGAAAAACCAGUUAAGCUGAAUGGAAGGAGAAAGACAAGGGGUGUGUAGAAAACACUGAAUGAGAUGGGAGACACACAGAUAUAGCUGUAUGAUUUCAUUGUAUGGAAAUCAGCUUGGACAUUCUUCAAGUGUCCUUUUGUGUUCCAUCGAAGAAAGAAGAACAUGAAGAUGAAAGAUAGUGACACGCGUUUGCAACACGCAAGUAAACAAUGACAGAAUUUUAAUUUCUGGGUGACCUAUCCCUUUAAGAUCAGUCCACCUGAUCGGACGGACGUUAAACAAAUAAAAAGUAAAAAUAAAUGUGCCCUGGUCAGUAGGGGAUUCCCAUGUCCUCCGUCUUUACCCCCACCGAAACCCUUCACUAACCCAUUCACUAACCAGGCAGGGUGACGCUCCGAAAGAACCCCCCUUCGUCCCGCAGAGAGAGGGAACGCUGUGACCCUAUAAAUAGAGGCGAGGAAUGGUGCUGAUGUGUUGAAGGAAGGAGGGGGGCAUGGAAAAAGGAUUAAGAGAGAUAUUCGGCUGGUGAUCGGGCUGUUCUUGCAGCCUGUGGAUCUCUGACUCAGGUAAUCCGGAUAGCAGGGAUGUCACAUGGGACUUUCGUGCGAUCUUGAUGACAGUACAAUUGGCCUCGUUUGCGCUCCGUCUCUCCCUCUAUUUCCCUCUCUUCCUUUUGGCAGCGGUGCUGUGCCUUCCCCUGAGGAUGGGAAGUGCGAUCAUUAUUGGAGGUAAAGGUGUGAUGACUGUACGUCAUGUUCAGGUGCUUACUUCCUGACUGGAAACAUUCUGACUUCCUUAUUGGCUCAUCGGAUGCUCUUAUCCAAUCAGAAUCUGGUCAAGUUCACUCCUUGGCAACUUAAUGUUUUUGAGGGAAAGAUUUACAGGUAGUCUAGAUCUAAAUUGAACCUUUUGUGCUGUAUAACUAUCCCUGCUGCAAUCACUCACGCAAACAAAUAGAUACACGUUGAGCUGUAUCUGUCAGUCAGCUAAGGUUUAUUGGCAUGACUGUAAACAUUUACAACAUUAAUAAAGCAUUUACAGGUCAGAGAUCUCAAUAUGAACUGAAUAUAGACUGUACAAAUUAGAGUACAUUUGACAAGAAAAUACCAUUCCAGUAUUUUAAAUUUCACAUUUAAUUUAAUGUGUUGCAUGCCAUUUUGUGUAAUUAUUUUAUUAAUUAAAUGUGUGUGAGACCCUGAACCACAAAACCAGUCAUAAGGGUCUUUUUUUUUUAAACUGAGAUUUAUACAUCAUCUGAAUAAACAAGCUUUCCAUUGAUGUAUGGUUUGUUAGGAUAGGACAAUGUUUGGCCGAGAUUCAACUGUUUGAAAACCUGGAAUCUGAGGGUGCAAAAAAAUCUAAAUAUUGAGAAAAUUGCCUUUAAUGUCCUUAGCAAUGCAUAUUACGUUUUGAUAUAAACGUAAAGUUUUGAUAUAUUUACGGUAGGGAAUUUACAAAAUAUCUUCAUGGAACAUGAUCUUUACUUAAUAUCCUAAUGAUUUUUGUCAUUAAAGAAAAAUCAAUAAUUUUGUUACUUUUAUUUAUCAAGGAUGCAUCAAAUUGAUCAAAAGUAAAAGUAAAGACAUUUAUAAUGUUACAGAAGUGUUCAAAUAAAUGCUUUUUUUAAAAUUAAAAAAUACUUUCUAGUCAUCGAAGAAUUUUGAAAAAUAAAAUAAAAUAAAUGGGCAGCAAAAACACAACAUUUGAUAAUCAUGAGAAAUGUUUCUUGAGCAGCAAUUUAACACACAAUGAUUUCUGAAGAAUCAUGUGACAAUGAGGACUGGAGUAAUGAUGCUGAAAAUUCAGCUUUGAUCUCAGGAAUAAUUAUUAAAAUAUGUUCAAAUAGAACAUCAUUAUUUUAAAUUGUAAUAAUAUUUCACAAUAUUACUGUUUUACUAUAUUUUUUAUCAAAUAAAUGCUGCCUUGGUGCGCAUAAGUGAUUUCUUUCAAAAAAAAAAAAAAAACGAGGAAAAGGCCAAAAGUUAGGCCUCCUUUCCUGCUUAACAGAAUCUGUGAGUCGGGCAGCAGGUCUCAGGGUUGACCGAGGUUAAAGAGCAACAAUAGCAUGUGAGACCCAGGGUCAAAAGAGCCACAGGAGUGAUGAAUGGCCAAGAAAACCACGCUAGUUUGUGUGACUGUGCAAGUUUGGGUCAAAAAAGUGUGGGAAGAAACAGAGCAAAACAUUUUGUCAUUAUGUUUCAUAGGACUUUUUUUUUUUUUUUAUGAUAUAUUAAACUUUUAUAAUGCAAGGCUAAAUCAAUCAACAUUAUUGUGGAAAAAAGCAUAUAGUGGAGAGUCCCGCAAAUAUUUCUCUGGGUGGGUUUCAUUUCUGAAAGUCAGUUUCUUUUCAUUUACCACAUGUUGCCACAUUAUAUGGGCUAAGUUCUCACUUUAGGUUGGAAAAAUGGAAUACUGUAUAUCAUGUUAUAGAUAUUAAUAUGAAAGGUAACAUGCAUAUUGUUUAAGCCGACAUAAAUUGUAAUCAAUAAAUUAUGUAUAAUUACAACACUUGUGAAAAUAUAAAAAACUUGUUUCCAUUAUGGGAUAAAAACAUAAAUAAAUAAAAAAUGUAAAAAAUGUUUUUAACUUUUUCUAUUUUUUUUAUUUAAAAGGGGUGCCUUUAUUAUUUUUCUUGUCAAAUGUGAUGGGAAUGUAACUUUAGAAGAAAGAAUUCACAAAAAUAAUCCCAAUUUAUGGCAGUUUUGAACUAGAUGUCUGAAAGCAACAUUUAAAAGCACUGCUAGAGAAAACAAGCAUUUGUGUAAUUGAACUUCUGAUUCAAAAUUUUAUAGCCUCUGUGACAACUAGCCCCAGUCCCCUCUUUAAAGAUGCCAUGGCUCUGUUCAUCUUAUUUAUCUGUGUUAUAAUUUCAUUCUUUUGUGGCGUACCAGUACCUGCUUCACCGACUCCUGUCCAGUCAUGUACAAACCAGACAGUGUUUAAGCUGUCAGCAAUGCAAAAGAAUUAAAAGUUGCAUAUGAAAACAGAUGUACAUCAGUCAUUGUCACCCACUGUUCAGGUACUUAUCCUGCACAGUUCUGUGCAUGAGGUCCAGAUUUGUCAUAAAUACAUCUUGUCUCGUCAUUCUGUUUUCAACCUCUUCUCAACCCCCUUUCAAACUAAUUCCUUCCCCUCCCCCUCUCCCUCUUUCUCUUUAUUCAAAGCCAUUGAUCAUGCAUGCAGAAAUUUAGCACGCCCAUAGCUCCAGUCGGGAGCGCUGGGGCGCUGUCCUACAUACUGCUUCUCCACACACACACACACACACACACUCAUCCUGAGACCACAAUCAAAUACACAAGCAUGCACACACA